GGGGGGGUAAGAUGUACGCAGUCCAUACCUCUACCUCUGAUGAAGUAGAAAGGCUGUUUCCGAAAGACCCCCGGCUCAAGGCACAAGAUAUCACACAAACACAUAGUAAAGCACAGAAGCAGAUGACAUAACAUAAAUACGACACCCAUAAGGAAUAUAAAACAGCGGAAAGCAGAGGAAAGCACACAGAUUCGUAAUAAGCAUGGAACACUGAAUACAGAAUCAUAACGGGAAUAAAAAAUAAAAAACCUGCACUAGCGACCCGCACUGGCCCUAAUCCUCUGCCGUAAUUCGCGUCUUCCAGACCUUCCUAUCUAGGGUCAUGUCCUCGGUGAGCUGUAACUGUUCCAUGUCCCGCC
rnacentral:lncRNA from 1 species